rnacentral:misc_RNA from 1 species
CAACCCUCAAGCAUUGCUUGGUGUUGGGUAAGGUCCUUAAAAAGGGACCCUCCCAUAACUUGUAGGCGACCAUUUGUUGGUACCCCUAGCGUAGCAGGCUUAAUGCACUCGCUUAGGGGGUGGCCCUUAUGAUCAGCCCAAAAAUUAUUUUAAAG